GGGGGAGGAGAAGGAGAAGGAGGAGGAGGAGGAGGAGAGAGGGAUGGCUUCCCACAGCUGCCUCUCGGGGGCCACUGCCCAAGGCCAGCCUCUGCACUUUUGUCCCUGAAGCGGGUGUUUGGCUCCAGGAUGAGGUGGCGUCAGCAGCCGACCCGGGCCUGUCGCACUCUGGCGGGGGACUGUGGGCUGGCCCUGCAGAGCUCAGCCCCCGGCUGAGUCACAGCACAGCGCCAGGCGUGGGCCUCCCUAACAGAAAGCAAACUCCAGGCGAGAAGGUCUGGGGGCGGGUGGGGACCAUCUACGAUAAAGGCAGCCCCAGUUGGGUGAGGAGGGCACAGACCAUCGGAGGGACAGAAAGACCUGGAAGCCUUGGAUUUAGGAACUAGACUGGUGCUUUUGGUUUCUUUUCUUGUUGAGGGGGCUGAGGAUGAGGCUUUGUGAAACCAACCAGGAAGAAUGAAACACAGAGCUGGUCCGACACCCAGCUCGAGGGAGGGGGGCCGGAAGCUUCUGGAAGUUGGCUGCCCCUAAGCAGGGGCCACUCUAGCCCACAAGGCCAAGUUGGCAGAGGCAGACGAGGGGACUCUGCGGCUCAAGUCACGGGCCAGGAGCCCGCAGCUGCCGGGCUGGAAAGGUCAGAGCCGGCUCUGCGUCUGGCUGCGCCGGCAAGAAGCCACAAUUACGCAGGCAAAAGAGCCCGGGGAUUAGCCCCAGCACCUGGGACCCUGAAUGGUGAGAAGGCACCUAGGGGGUGUUGGAACACAUUCUGAGUUCAGAGCCUGGUCAGGGAGAAAAAACCAAACGGAGAUCAGGAAGGGGAAGGGGCCUUCGAGGGCUUUCCCAUCCCAACUUCCCAGGAUGCCUGACCCCAGAGCUCCUGGAUUUGAUCCACGCCUCGUGACACACACAACCCCUGGGAGGAAGGAGCCCAGGCCCCUUGGAGAGCCCCAGAGGCCUCUAAGGGCCGGUGAGUCUAGGACAUGGGGCAGGAGCUGCAAAUGGGGCCUCCCUGCUCCCCACCCUUCCUUCCCUCCUCCUCUAAACAUUGCCCCACCCACCUCGCCCUGUGAGCCCAGCCCCCUGCACGGCCCACACUGUAGGGGCAUGGGGUGUGCCAAGAGAUGCUCCUGUCGACCAGGCGCAGUGGCUCAUGCCUGUAAUCCCAGCACUUUGGGAGGCCAAGGCGGGAGGAUCACUUGAGAUCAGGAGUUCAAGACCAGCCUCGCCAACAUGGUGGAACUGUGUCUGUACUAAAAAUACAAAAAUUAGCCGUCUGUGUUGGUGCACACCUGUAAUCCCAGCUACUCAGGAGGCUAAGGCAAGAGAAUCGCUUGAACACACGAGGCAGAGGUUGCAGUGAGCCAAGAUUGUGCCACUGCACUCCAGCCUGGGCAACAGAGCGAGACUCCGUCUCAAAAAAAAAAAAAAAAUGCUCUUGUCCAACAGGCAGGUGGGUGCCGUGGGCCGGUGCAUCCCAAGGCUUCCAGGCCCGGGCCCCCAACUGCUGCCCCUGCCUGUGUUGAGGGGGCGGGUUUGUGAGGUUCAGGGCAGGCCACAUCCUGGACCCCACAUGCCCCAUCUCUAACCAUCAAUCAAGUGCCGCUGUGGCGGAGAGGAUUCAGGCGACUGCAGAUAUCCAUCCCUGUCCCCCACCCCACACACAAGGAGAACAUCCCAGGCGAGGACAUUGUAAAUGCAAAAUCUAUACGAUGGCAAGUAACUCUGAAGACUCAAGAAAAAGAGUUCCUCACGGACGGGACCUUUUAUUCCAAUCACCUCUCAAAAUAGGUCUCCGAACGAGGACCCUGAAGAGAAGGCUAUGCAGGGGGACGGGCCGCUGCCUGGCUCAGGGCUUCCCUCUGGUUUCUUCACGGUCCACAGAUGCUACCCGGAGCCUUUCUCGAAAGCGCUGACUCAGUGUCUCAGGUGCGCGCCCGAGGAGUGGCAAACCCGGCCUGGCUCAGAAAGGGGGCAGGAGCCUCGUGAGAAUCUUCCAUGAGCAUCUUCCGAGGGGAUUCCUGUCCUGUCUUCUCUGUGUGAACGCCAGUGUGGACAGAUGAGGAUAGAUGAUGGAGUCCAGGCCACCCAGGAGGGGGUGAUGGGGACCAUGCGUGGCCCCUGCCUGGGACUUCCCUCCCCACACACCCCUUGGCAUUAACGUCUCCACAGAGGGGAGAGGGUUAUAGGACAACCUGGUGUGGGGGGCGCCGGGGACUCUCAAGAGCCCCCACUGUCCAGAUGCUGGUCUUGCCUUUUGUAAAAGGACAUCAGUGCCUCACUGUGCCGCUGACACCUGGUGAGAACUCUCAAAAGGAAGCUUCCCUUACGGGAACGGGGAUUUCCUGAGAGUCCAGCGAUGGACAGAGGGCAGGAGACCCGCUAGGUGCACCCAGAAGCUCAAAAGGAACAGUGGAUGUGCAGUGUGUAGUUUUAUUUGUUUUUAUUUCCAUAACACAAGAGAGGAAGCGAAGGGCCAGGGCCCGAGGCAUCCCCUGCACGGUUCGAAGGCUUUCAACCGUCCCGGGUUUGUUUUGAAGGCAAUUUUGGGGCCGCGCCCAAGGAAACCCUGCAGGCUGUCAGUCCCAGCAUGAACAGCUUAAAAUAAAAAUCUCCCGUCUGGUUGCUGCUCGGAGAGGCUCCAAGAAAUGCAAAACAAACCCGCCUGGAAAAUGCUGCCCUGAGAACCAGAGCGAGGGCUUGAAAGAUGCCUUCAACACAGACUCUUCUAGGAAUCCAGCCAGUUUUGGGACGGCCGUUUCACAAAACCAAAAAACACCAAGUAACAUUUCUAACCGGAGAAUUGCCGGUUUUAGCAAGAAAAAGGGGCUUCACCUAAAAGGGAGGGUCACAAAACACGAAGGGGGUUCCCCCUGGCGCCUGCCUCUUCCUUUCUGAGCAGAUCCGUCCGAGACUGUGGAGCGGAAUCGCCACCCUGGCAGGAGGGGGCGCAGCAGCCGGUCUGGGUGGGCGCUCACUGUUUGCCCGCCUGUCUGCCAGGCUUCUUCUCUGGCUGGCCUCUGCCUGUGCCCGGGAUCCCACCUCGGCCCCGGCCACCAAACACACCUAGAGGACAGAGAGAGGGCGCUGCAGCAGAGCCAGGUACGUCCACUGGAGAGGGGAGACCCACCUCGGCCAGCGCCGCCCAUGCCGCGGCCUUUCUGCUGCUUCUGCUGCUGCAGGCCUCCGCGGCCGCGGCCCUUGGCCACCACCUCCUCCUUGACCAUGUCGAUGAUCUCGUCGGGGAUGCGCAGGCUGAUCUCGAACUCCUGAGCUCAAGCGAUCCUCCUGUCUUGGCCUCCCAAAGUGCUGGGAUUACAGGCGCGAGCCACUGCAACUGGCCCAUUAAAUUUUUAACCCCGUACUUGACGGAUCAGCUGACACUACCCAGACCAGUAAUCUGGCUCAACCAGUCCUGCGAUCCCACCCAGGAACAGAAGACAGCAAGAAAACCUCACUUCAACACUCCCGUCGAUGACUCCAUCGACCUCAGGAAGCUCCAACCAAUCAGCACUCCCCACUUCCUGAGCCCCUACCCGC
rnacentral:lncRNA from 1 species